GACAGAGGGUGCAAACGUUGUUCGGAAUUACUGGGCGUAAAGCGCACGUAGGCGGACUCUUAAGUCGGGGGUGAAAUCCUGGAGCUCAACUCCAGAACUGCCUUCGAUACUGGGAGUCUUGAGUUCGGGAGAGGUGAGUGGAACUGCGAGUGUAGAGGUGAAAUUCGUAGAUAUUCGCAAGAACACCAGUGGCGAAGGCGGCUCACUGGCCCGAUACUGACGCUGAGGUGCGAAAGCGUGGGGAGCAAACAGG
rnacentral:rRNA from 1 species